GAUGAACGCUGGCGGCGUGCCUAAUACAUGCAAGUCGAGCGAACGGACGAGAAGCUUGCUUCUCUGAUGUUAGCGGCGGACGGGUGAGUAACACGUGGAUAACCUACCUAUAAGACUGGGAUAACUUCGGGAAACCGGAGCUAAUACCGGAUAAUAUUUUGAACCGCAUGGUUCAAAAGUGAAAGACGGUCUUGCUGUCACUUAUAGAUGGAUCCGCGCUGCAUUAGCUAGUUGGUAAGGUAACGGCUUACCAAGGCAACGAUGCAUAGCCGACCUGAGAGGGUGAUCGGCCAAAAUGGAACUUGAACACGGGCCAGACUCCUAAGGGAAGGAGCCGGAGGGGAACUUCCGCCAUGGGGGGAAGCCUGGAGGAAGCAAGCCGGGGUGGUGGUAGAGGGCUUCCGAUCGUAAAACUCUGUUAUUAGGGAAGAACAUAUGUGUAAGUAACUGUGCACAUCUUGACGGUACCUAAUCAGAAGGCCACGGCUAACUACGUG
rnacentral:rRNA from 1 species